GCACUGCUGAUGAGACCCAACCCGGUCGAAACAGCUGUCCAGUGC
rfam:Echinostoma caproni strain Egypt genome assembly, scaffold: ECPE_scaffold0000563